rnacentral:lncRNA from 1 species
ACUUGCAGAAACUGGCCACAGCUGGCAAAAUCACACUGCGGCCAGAUCACGAGGCAAAUCAUAGUCAGCUGCUAUGGAUGAUCUGAAGCAGCCCCGGAUCCCACACAUGGGAUUAAAACAAAAAUAUAUUCCCAUGACUUUUCUAUACUUUUAAAGAAGCCAAAGUUCUAACCCAGAAACACGAGGUCUGUAUGUGCUCUCUCAUGUGUGGAUCUCAGCUAUACUGAAAUCAUAUGUAUACAUACGAGCAAAUUAAGCUUUAGAGAGGCGACUGGAGAGGGUAAUCAUUGGUGACGAGGAAGAAUGGGGGUGGUAUGCAGAAGGCCACAUGGGACUGGAAAGAGGAAAAGAAACUGGGGCAGGGAGACUACCAGGGGGAGACAGAGGCAGCAGGAGUGUGGGAAAGUGGAAGGAGGCCCACAGGAAUGCACGUUGAGAAUUUUGAGAUCAUAUGAUUGUGUUAUGAGAUCAUAUGAUUGUGUUAUAUGCUGCUUUUUGUUCCAGGGGGAGGUGUUUACAAUCUGAAGUUUUCCCCAUUUUUCUUUGGUUUAAAACUAUUAAGUCAUUCUAGUAUAGUUAUUUAAUACCCCAUUUUUCUUUGGUUUAAAACUAUUAAGUCAUUCUAGUAUAGUUAUUUAAUAUGUAAAUGUCAUUGAUGUACAUAAGGUACUUCUUAAAACAUAAAAAUAUUUACACACACACACACACACACACACACACACACACAGUGCAAACACCUUGCCACCAUUUUCCCAGCCCUCAGUGCCUGUAGCUGUGAUUGUUGGUGUCCCAGGCACAGGCGCCCAUUCCUCAUCCAAGAUGCUGGUCCCUAACCCAGCCCGGACCCCAGGCCUUUGCACGGACCCCAGGCCUUUGCACGUGUGGGUAAUCCCAGGGCUGACCCACAGACCUACUGAGGCUUCUGAAUAAGUGCAUUUUCUCUACGGCUGCUCGUGGACAUCUAAAUAUACUGACCUCAAGAGCAGAGUGUGAGUUCUGAGGGCAUCUCCUGGAUCUCUUCCACUCUCAUGGUGCUGUCCAGUAGCUGGGCCCUGCUGACCCUUCGCAGUUCUCUAGUGUAUCUUACUCUUUGUCUUUACCUCAGGCCAUGCCCUAUUUCUGAUCAAAGAAAUGAAAUAUCUCCAUGUGCACAUUUUAUCCAGAUCUUGUGUGUUGUGCUUUAUUAUGGAUAUUUUGGGUUCAGUCUGUCAUUGGUACCAGAACUGUCAUAAAUGUCUCAGGCAAACUGUCCAUUUUGCUAAUUUUACUUAGGUUUACUGCUGUAGGCUGACAUUCGAGAAAGGGCAUGAGGAAACGACCUGCCAUCUUUAGUGCAACGUUAGCCCACACUGAGCAGGGCAGUGGCAGCUUGUGUGUUUGAACUGGAGAUUUUUGGUUUUGAGGACCACGUUAUGUACCUCGGUGGUGUUCAGUGCCGGCUUCAUGAUCAAAUUGGGAGCUUCUAAAUAGUGCUGAGCUCUAAGCAAGCCGACCACGGAUAUAAUGUGUGUCAUCUCUUUGGUGACUGUGACGGGCAGCAGUGUCCUAGAGUACACUGCUGUAGAUCCCCAAGUUUACCUCAUGGCAGAAAAGAUAAAGAAUGGAGUGUGGGAGACCACAGGGGUUCCAGCUAAGAAUCCAGGAGCACACGGGUGUGACUGGUACAGUUUUGAAUCUUAUCACACUGUUACCGAGUCGGUCUGAUUUUACUCCUUUUAAUUCCCCUGUACAGGAAUGGUCAAGUCCCUGUGCUAACAUUUAGCCAUUAGGUUUGGAAGCUUUUCUUUCAAAUUCUCAAUGGAUUGUUCAAUAUGAUUAAUAUUCAAUAUUCAAAGUGCAGCGUGCUCACGGUUUAUUUCUGGCUGUGUUCUGUCCAUCGUGUGAACUCCUUGACUGUGUGUGGUGGCAGUAUUCCUGUUUUCCUAACCUUCUCGUUCUUAACUAUGUGAAGGUAAUUGUUAUGUCCAUCCUAUGUCUGAAGGACAGAGAUGCAGCUAAAAGGGAGGGGAGGGGAGCUUAGCCACCUGGCAGAAAGGUCUUUGAAACAUCUUUGGUGACCUUAUUUCCAGUGACUAUAUUCUCAGAUACUUUUGAGGACAUUGAUUCAUCCCACUACGGUCUUACCAGGCUCCAGGUCACCGGGUUUCCAAGGAAGAGUCCUUAUCUGCUGAGCCUCCUGAUUGACCCUGUAUGUUUUCUUUUUUGUAUUUUGUUGUUUUUUUAUCUUUUAUUGGUACAAUAUUUUAGUUAAUUCUUUGAAAGUUUCAUGCAGUGUAUGUUGAUACCUACUCUCAGAUCAACCCGUUCCUUCCUACUACACCCCUUCUCAAAGGAGAGACUAUUUGGAAAUGGUUGUCCUGGUCCCCUGGCUCUUGCAAUCUUUCCACCUCGUCUUUCAUAAUGUUCCAUGGGUCUUAAGUGUAAGGGUCGUAUUGUAAAUAUGUUAACUGGGAACAUGCACUCCAGGAUGACUUAGCCUCUGCGUUUUGACCAGUUGUGGUGCCUUAGUUAGGGUUUUACUGCUGUGACAGACAUCAUGACAAGGCAACUCUUAUAAGGACAACAUUUAAUUGGGACUGGCCUACAAGUUCAGAGGUUAGUCAAUUAUCAUCAAAGUGGGAGCACAGCAGCUUCCAGGCAGGCAUGGCGCAGGAGGAGCUGAGAGUUCUACAUCUUCCAAUGAAGGCUGCUGGAUGAAGACUGGCUUCCAGGCAGCAAGGAGAAAGGUCUCCUUGCCCACCCAUACAGUUCCUCCAACAAGGCCACACCCACUCCAAGGCCACACCCACUCCAACAAGGACACACCCCCUAAUGGUGUCACUCCUUAGGUCAAGCAUGUUCAAAUAUGGCUUUCGUAAUGAGCUUCAUUGACUGCAAAAAAGAAGUUUGUUUGUUUACUCGUUUGUUUGGUUUUGAGGAGGGCCGAGAACCGCACUUAUCAGUAGGUAUAAGAGUAAAUCUGGAAAGCAGUGAGAGAUAAUACUGGUUUACAACAGUGUCAGUAGACUCUCCUCUAGGUCCCAAGGCCUCACAGCCAUGGGAAGUUGGCUGAGUUUAGACUGCCAGGCAUGGAUUCCCUCUUACUAAGCUGCCCUUAGUUACAAUUAGGUACCUCUUGGUUACUACCAAAGUAUCCAAGCCAUUAGUGCACCUUUCCUGCUAUUUUGCCGUUCCGGUCCUUGUUUGUAUAUUCAGGCACCAGGACUAGAUAGGGCUGUUGAUUGAUUUUCUCCCUUGACAGCCAUGUGUGGCUCCUUCUGAUACUACGAGAGCUAGUCGUUGGGGAGGAGGUCCAAGGACUGUCAGAGUGUCUUCAAGCGACAAGAUCUUAACCUUUUUUUUAAGCCAAUAGAAAAGUGAAAGUUCUAACCUUAAGACCAAGAUAGGGACUAUUCCUGUCUUUUUCUUCUUUAAUCAGUAAAAAGAAAAAUCAUCACACAGGUUGACUUUUUGUUAACUACAACGUGAAUCUAAUUAGC